rnacentral:pre_miRNA from 1 species
AAUGUACUCCCUCCGUCCGAAAAUACUUGUCAUCAAAAUGGACAAAAAGGGAUGUAUCUAAAACAAAAAAUACAUCUAGAUACAUCCCCUUUUAUUCAUUUUGAUGACAAGUAUUUCCGGACGGAGGGAGUAUAAG